rnacentral:lncRNA from 1 species
CUUUCUCUGCCGUGUUCACUAUUGCUUUAUAGCUAGGAAAUGGAAACAAAUUAAAUGUUUGACAACUGACAAAUGAAUAAUGAAGAUAUGAUUCCAGAAGAUCUAAGAAUUCAGUAGCUGUUCAGUACAGAAGGUGGAUAUGUCAGCUGGUCUUCAGUAUAUGUCAGAGUCCUGAAAAAAGCAGGCUCUAAUGCCAGUGAAGGGAUGGACUUGCUAACAAGGUGAGAGCAAGCAGGCAAAGAGAGAACAAGCUGCCUUCUUCUAUGUCCUUCAUAUAGACUGCCACCACAGAAGGUGUGGCCCAGAUUAAAGGUGGAUCUUUCCAGCCUCAAAAGAUCUGAAUUAAAGAUAAAUGUAGCUACCACUAGGAAGCCUCUCUCUACUGCAAAUGGAGACCAUCACAGGACACCACAACUGGACACACUGCAGAGAUUGGCGGAUUGGGGGAGCUCAGGCCCAGCGGACACAUCUAAAGCUCAGCUCUUUCAUCCAUUGCUCAGGAAACACUGAGGAAGAGAGAGUGGAAAGAUUGUAAA